rnacentral:rRNA from 1 species
UGAACGCUGGCGGCGUGCCUAACACAUGCAAGUCGAACGGAGAUUUAACGCUGAUGAAGCUUCGGCAGAAUCUUGUUAAAUCUUAGUGGCGGACGGGUGAGUAACGCGUGGGCAACCUGCCUCAUACUGGGGGAUAACAGCUGGAAACGACUGUUAAUACCGCAUAAGCGCACAGUGUCGCAUGACACAGUGUGAAAAACUCCGGUGGUAUGAGAUGGGCCCGCGUCAGAUUAGCCAGUUGGCGGGUAACGGCCCACCAAAGCGACGAUCUGUAGCCGGCCUGAGAGGGCGGACGGCCACAUUGGGACUGAGACACGGCCCAAACUCCUACGGGAGGCAGCAGUGGGGGAUAUUGCACAAUGGAGGAAACUCUGAUGCAGCGACGCCGCCGUGAGUGAAGAAGUAUUUCGGUAUGUAAAGCUCUAUCAGCAGGGAAGAAAGGCUCGUAAGAGAGAUGACGGUACCUGACUAAGAAGCCCCGGCUAACUACGUGCCAGCCGCGGC